UCCUCUGUGGCGCAAUCGGCUAGCGCGUCUGACUGUUAAUUAAUCAGGCGGUUGGAAGUUCGAGCCUUCCCGGAGGAG